ACAGCAGUAGCCGCGGUAAUACGAAGGGUGCAAGCGUUACUCGGAAUUACUGGGCGUAAAGCGUGCGUAGGUGGUGGUUUAAGUCCGUUGUGAAAGCCCCGGGCUCAACCUGGGAAUUGCAGUGGAUACUGGGUCACUAGAGUGUGGUAGAGGAUAGUGGAAUUUCCGGUGUAGCGGUGAAAUGCGUAGAGAUCGGGAGGAACAUCAGUGGCGAAGGCGGCCAUCUGGGACAACACUGACGCUGAGGCACGAAAGCGUGGGGAGCAAACAGGAUUAGAUACCCGAGUAGUCCCUGUCUCUUAUAC
rnacentral:rRNA from 1 species